GCCGCCUCACAAACCCUAGCCCCCGAAUUUUUCAGGCUAGGGUUUUCCAUUUGGGAUUCUCUCUGAGGGCUAUAGAGAAUGAGAUGAUGAACAGGAUUUUGUUUCCCUAUUGGUUUGAUCACCGGUAUGAUGGUGUCUACUUACGUAUUAGCUCUAUCUGAUCAUUCUCUUGGACCAAACCCACCUCUGGAUUUCUUAUAUUCGUAUCUUUUUUGUCAUGCUUGAUCGUUUUUAGUUUGUUUAUCUUCUCGGGGGAAUUUUUUUUCUCUCCACAAAGGGGACUUACAUGUCUGUAUCUGCAUAAGAAAACUUUAUGUAAUUAUUGUGAUUUUGUUUUUUUCUUAAGUUGAAGUUGUUGGAGAAUGAUAUGACGAUCAGAUUUUUUUCCCUAUUGGUUUGAUCACCAGAAUGAUGGUAUCUUUAUUAGCUCUAUCUGAUCAUUCUCGCAACUUAUAUUUUUUUCCAAAUAUUUUUCUUACUCUGUUUUUGUUUCUGGGAUUAAAAGAGUAGAUGAUUAACUCCCCGACUUGGUAGUUGAAAGAGCCGGUCUUGAAAACCGAAGUAAGAAUUGGAAUACCGGGGGUUCGAGUCGUUUGCUUUUUGAUUCUUGUUGAUUUUGUUGUGUUUUGUUUCAAUGUUUUCUCUCGUAUGUAUCGGUAAGACUCCUGGAUGGUGUGGUUAUGAUUAAUUUACUUCGAUUAGCAAGAAUCCUCUAAUGUGACAUAUAUUGGUAACUCUGCUCAGAAUCAUCAAUAGAAACUCUUGUGCAGUUGUACUAGAUGUGUCCGCUCAUGGUAUUUGGGAAAAGAACUAUGUUUCGGAUUAGGUAUCCCUACUGGUUUAAUUGCCAGGAUUAAUGGGGAAAAUAAAGGGUUUCACCUUAGUAAUAGUCCAUUUCGUUUGGUAAUGGAGAAAAGAUGCACAUAUCGAAGGCUUUUCAGGUAUGAUCCGUCGGGAUCAAAAAGCCUGUUUGAGCUCAAUGCUUGUGCUAGAUCAUUUUGUCAGCAUUGCUACUAACCUCUAGCCACUGCUAGAUGAUUUUGCAAUGUUGACGAAGAUUUGUUCAUUGCUUAUCAUGUUUUCGUCUUGCUCUGGACCAGUUUUGGUAGUUAAUGUUGUAAACCAUAUUGACGAAAUAAAUACAAACUUGAUGACAAAAGUUACUAUUAAGCGUGGAACACAAA